GACGAACGCUGGCGGCGUGCCUAAUACAUGCAAGCAGAACGCAGUUGCGAAAGGGUGAGUAACGCGUAGGUAACUGCCUCAUAGUGGGGGAUCACUUUUGGAAACGAUAGCUAAUACCGCAUACUGUGAGAUGGACGUGCGUUGUAUUAGUUAGUUGGUGAGGUAAAGGCGCACCAAGGCGACGAUACAUAGCCGACCUGAGGGGGUGAUCGGCGACACUGGUACUGAGAGACGUCCCAGACUCCUCCGGGGGGCAACAGUAGGGAAUCUUCGGGAAUGGACGGAAGUCUGACCGAGCAACGCCGCGUGAGUGAAUACGGUUUUCGGAUCGGAACGCUCUGUUAGUAGAGGAGCGGGUACUAACCAGAACGGAACGGCUAACUACGUGCCAGCAGCCGCGGUAAUAC
rnacentral:rRNA from 1 species